GGGCUCAUAUCAUGCAAAAUCCACUUUUUAGACAUUUUGGAGCGUCCCUAUGACUCUAUGGGUCACAUAUACACACACUGAGCACGGUAGAAAUGCAUUUCCUGCUUUUUUCACAUUUUGAAAACGUAAAUUUUCUCAUCCAAUGGAGAGAGAGAUCUACUGUUCUGAGGCCGUUCCCCAGGUUUCGUCAUACUGGUUGAAAGUUCUCCCUGCAAAUCCUGAACCACCACCCCCACAAUGAUCCCGAACCAAAACUGGACUUCCGCCAUUUCCCCCCUCUCACUCACCGUGAACAGACGAGCACGGCAGCGCCCAAGUCCUCCCAUAGAAAUAGUUCGGUUCUUAGGUGUUCUAACCAACACCAAAGUCUCUUCACUUUACCAAGGGAUCAACAAGUGAGGAUUUGUGGGUCACUUUUAUUUUUAACGGACCGGUGCCAGAAACACUGCCUCAGCAUUUAUACGUAUGUGCAUUUCAAACGAGGGUGCGUACAAUGCUGGAUUUGUUUCACGGCUCCUGUUGGAAAAAAAGGACCUAUUCCUACAGUCCGUCAUCCACUCACUGCAGAGGGCAAAUCCCAGUUGCCCACAUGCAAGGAGGCUGUCAAACAGAGAAAUCACUGCAGACUGUUGGUACACGGACAUCUGCUGCCCAGCUCAGGAGUGAAGUACCUUUUGUUUUGAUGAGGUGAUGGUGAGGACAGCCACAGCUUCCAUCUGGUAGAGGACUGCUUCCGCUCAGUCUUCCAAAUAGUGAUGAGAACAAGGAUCACCACAUCUCCCUGUUUACCCUACUUUCAUGCAUUUCGUCUGCAAGGCCCUGCAAAAGCUUCUCCUUCGUCCUCAAACCCCCAGACUUCUUAAUUAACUCAGUAACCUAUACAUUGCACAUUGGAGUGUGAAGGUAACAGUUUGUUCUAGCUUUGGAGUAGUGGUGUAUUUUUUUGGUUUACAAUAAAGUUGGCUUUAACUAUUA